UACGGAGGAUGCAAGCGUUAUCCGGAAUUCUUGGGCGUAAAGCGUCCGCAGGUGGCUAGACAAGUCUGCUGUCAAAGACUGGAGCUCAACUCCGGGCAGGCGGUGGAAACUGUCGAGCUAGAGUACGGUAGGGGUAGAGGGAAUUCCCAGUGAAACGGUGAAAUGCGUAGAGAUUGGGAAGAACACCAGUGGCGAAGGCGAUCUACUGGGCCGUAACUGACGCUCAGGGACGAAAGCUAGGGGAGCGAAUGGG
rnacentral:rRNA from 1 species